CCUACGGGAGGCAGCAGUGAGGAAUAUUGGUCAAUGGACGAGAGUCUGAACCAGCCAAGUAGCGUGAAGGAUGACUGCCCUAUGGGUUGUAAACUUCUUUUAUAUGGGAAUAAAACGUUCCACGUGUGGGAUUUUGUAUGUACCAUAUGAAUAAGGAUCGGCUAACUCCGUGCCAGCAGCCGCGGUAAUACGGAGGAUCCGAGCGUUAUCCGGAUUUAUUGGGUUUAAAGGGAGCGUAGGUGGAUUGUUAAGUCAGUUGUGAAAGUUUGCGACUCAACCGUAAAAUUGCAGUUGAAACUGGCAGUCUUGAGUACAGUAGAGGUGGGCUGAAUUCGUGGUGUAGCGGUGAAAUGCUUAGAUAUCACGAAGAACUCCGAUUGCGAAGGCAGUUCACUGGACUGCAACUGACACUGAGGCUCGAAAGUGUGGGUAUCAAACAGGAUUAGAUACCCCAGUAGUC
rnacentral:rRNA from 1 species